GACCCACUGUGUCCUUCUGUUGGCCACGUCAGGCUGGUGCUGGUCGGUAUUACUCUCCUACAGUCUCCUCACCAGUGACCACAUGAGGACUCACGAGUGGAGCUGAGUGACAGAUUUCCAGGCCAGCACAUGAAGUACUCACAGGACGAUGGGCAUGAUGGUGAGGAACUUGCGGGACGCCGUGAACUGCACUCCAUAGUCCAUCUGCUCCCAGUGCGUGAGCAGCCGAGCCUUGCCCUGGUCCGGAGUCUCAAAAGGAGUUCCUUUCACGGUAUGGAGAAAGAUGUACAUGCUCUGCAGCAAACACAAACGCAGUGUGAAGCACGCAGGGGACCUCCACACCACCAGAAACGCUCAGCUUCGUGAACGGCCGGGGGAGCUUGCACCAGCGCGCUGUGCCACUAGAGGGAUGCAUCCUCCCCGCCGGAAAAUGCAGCUAAGCGAGUGGGGAGAGCGGGGAAGGGAAGCAGCCGGGGUUAGCUCGGGGCCGGCUGUCACACGGGAGGCCUCUGCUUCAGCUCCUGGGCGUAAGCCAAGAAGGUGGCCGCAAGAUUACAGCGCUCCCGUCUCUGGGGUCAGGAGAUUAGUGUGGAAUGGCUCUGCCGUGCACCAGCAAUGCCCAAGGCUGUCUACAAACAGUGCUGGUGGGGCUGUGGGCAGUGAGGAUCUGUUCCUGCCCUGAUUACGAGUAAACCUCUUGGAGUGGAACCCAGGGCACAGAUAAACAGCAAGUGUCUGGCUGCAUCACGUGGCUUUGAAGAGUAGCCAUUGCUGGCCUUUAAACUCCUUUCUGUUCCCAUGACCUCAUUGUUUAAGCUGCCAGAGAAGGGGAAGGAGCUGGAUGCAAAGCAGGCAGCUUGCGAGCUGAGCUCCAGGCAGCUCAAGUUAGUGGUUUUGUGGGCUCCUCCUCUGCUAGAUGUGAAAAACAUCCCUGGUAAGGGGGUCACUUUUGCCUCUGGAAUAUUCUCAGGCUGAGGUAUCAUUGAAAAUAAAGGAUACAAAAUCAA